UACAGAGGUCUCAAGCGUUGUUCGGAUUCAUUGGGCGUAAAGGGCGCGUAGGCGGGCCCGCCAGUCUGUGGUGAAAUCCUCCGGCUCAACCGGAGAACUGCCUCGGAUACUGCGGGUCUCGAGGGUGAUAGGGGUAUGCGGAACUAUCGGUGGAGCGGUGAAAUGCGUUGAUAUCGAUAGGAACUCCGGUGGCGAAGGCGGCAUACUGGAUCACUUCUGACGCUGAGGCGCGAAAGCCAGGGGAGCAAACGGG
rnacentral:rRNA from 1 species